GUGUCAGCCGCCGCGGUAAUACGUAAGCCCCGAGCAUUACUCGGAAUUAUUGGGUGUAAAGGGUUCGUAGGCGGAUCUGAAAGUUGGAUAUGAAAGACCGAAGCUCAACUUCGCGUUUGUGUUCAAAACUCCAGGUCUAGAAUUAGGGAGAGGUAAGCGGAAUUCUAAGUGUAGGGGUGCAAUCCGUAGAUACUUAGAAGAACACCAAAAGCGAAGGCAGCUUACUGGAACUAUAUUGACGCUGAGGAACGAAAGCGUGGGUAGCGAAAAGGAUUAGAUACCCUUGUAGUCCACGCCCUAAACGAUGAUAACUAAGUGUUGGGGAUUGCCCCAGUGCUGUAGCUAACGCGUUAAGUUAUCCACCUGGGGAGUACGGGCGCAAGCUUAAAACUCAAAGGAAUUGACGG
rnacentral:rRNA from 1 species